UUUAUCUCCAUCUUUAGAAAAAUAGUUAUUAAGAAGCUGGAGGUUCACUGUUUUCCACUUUGUAGGUCUUGUCCCACAUCUGUCCUGGAGGGUCAACCCCCACCCCCGGCCAGGGUAAAGCCCAGAUCUGGGUAAACCCCAGCUCUCCCUUCAGAAUCCUCCAGAUUUGUAGUUGCAACACAUUCAGCGUGGAAGGAGCUUAUCUCCAAACCCCAUGGUUUAGCCCAGUUCUCACUUCCUUUGUUUCGUGGGGCUUCUGGGUGGGGCCUCAGGUAGGCAGGAGGGAGGUGAAACAGGGGUCAGCCCAAAAUUGGCAAGAGGUCUGUGUCACCCUCUGUCCUCUACCCCCACCCCGUUACACAGGCUGAUAAAACUCGAGCAGGGACCAGGGAGUACUAUGCAAGCAGUGAGGAUGGAAGGAAUCGCAGGGGCCUUGGUUUUCCUGCUCAGGGAGGUAGAACAAGGUCUUGGUUAGGCUGAAGAGCUAGGUUAGGAUCAUGGCUAAGGGUGCCUGUGAGGGUGACAUCCAUAAUUACAAGUAGGAGGUUUUCAAAGAAAGUAAGGCCGCUGGGGGUAUGGCUCAGUGAUAGAAACACUUGCCUAAUGUGAGAGCCCCACCGUCCAUAACACUGCAAAUAAGAAUGAUGAUAAUAAAAUAACAGAUUCCCAAUGUUUACCUUCGCCCAGGUGGUGACUCAGAAACAUUAUCUUGGACAAAUGAAAUACUUUAAAAAUAGGAGAAGUGGGUCGGGGAGAAGGAGAGAGACAAAGAGAAAGAGAGGGAUUAAAAAUAGUGGAGUAAAAAUCAGAAGAAAAAUGCAGCCUGUCCGGGACUUGGAAGUAGGAUAUGUGGAAAACAACAAGUUGGUGAAGAAAAAAAAAAGUAGAUAUUCAGGAAGCAGGAAGGAGUUGACAGGAAAACUAGAAACUACAGAGAAGCUAGAGAAAUG
rnacentral:lncRNA from 1 species